rnacentral:lncRNA from 1 species
UGAGAUUUCUCUUUGCUGUUGAAACUUUCCAGCAUUUGAAACUCUGGCCGAAAGUCCUCCUUGAGCUUCUCCACAUCUCAACUAGCUUCCUUCCAAUGGAAGGUCGGCUGAGCUAGUCUCCAUCUCCAUCUAGAGCUCUUCAAACCAUCAUCUACACUACUGAAAUCAUCCUUCCGCUGCUGCCAAGCUAUAAGCAAAUUCAUCCGCUGUUUGCUACCUUUGAAUCAUCGCUGCCAACUCUGGUUUCGCAACUUCCGCUGCAUUCCAUCCAUCCUACUUGUUGGAGCAUCGUCAUCAAUUGAUAUUCAGAGCCUAGGUUGCUCACGGUGUUGUGGUUGUUCAAGCUAAGUUCACUUUUCUUUGUUUCAUAUUGUCAUAAUCAUUCCAUUCGUGUUCUCUGUUUUUCUGUGCGCACUGUUUUAUUCAAUUUUCACUUCCAGUAGAUUCUGCUAUAUGAAUGUCUUUGUUCCAGCUUUUAAUUGUUUUAUUUUAAUCAUUUUAAUCGGUCCACUUCCUUACUUUGAGUCUUUAAUUUUUAAAUCUGAUCCUGUUAUGUAAGUUGCUUUAACUUGUCCAGAAUUUUCAGUUGAAACUGUGAUUGGAUAAAACUGUCUCUAAAUUGAACUUUCGGUAGAUGCACACAAAAAUGAGCAAUGAUUUAUGAGCUUAGUGCAUCUUGAAGUCAAUAACCGUGUAGUACCAGUAGAAUCACUAAGACAGAAUCUGUUUCAAAUGGUUGAAUGUGAUGCAUCGUGUGGAGUGUGUUUCUGAUAUUAUUCGAUGAAUUGCAAUAUUGUGUAAGCAUACCAAAUAAACAGUGAUUUGUUUAAGAGAAAUCAAUAUGGUUGCAUCACAUUGCAGAGUUCAAAAUUUUCUUGCAUCGCAGCUUGGCCGAACUGCACCUUUUGUUUGAGUUUUCUUUUAAUUUUUUUAAUCUGUCCAGCAUAGCACUCUCAUAUGGACAUCUUUUAAACCAAUUCUAGAGUCUCAUUCUAGUUGUAUUUUCUAAUCUGAAGUGAUACAAACUGAUUACAGAUCAUUUUGAAUCCAAUGUUGAGAUUUGGUUGGUAAUUUGGCAUCAUUUUAGUGAAUAAUAGCAAUUGAUACUGCCAAAUUUUGGUAUACAUGUUUCUUUCCACUGCUGGUUGAUGAAUCAAGUUUUAAAUGGUAAACUAAAGUUGCUCAAAUCAUAAAAUUGAUUGUUCAAACUGGUUUGUGUCAAUUUGCCAUCUCAACCAUCAAUUUUCAACAUAUUUCAUUGAGUAAGUUGCAGAAAUUUCUGUCUAAUUGUGUGGCUGUGUUAUAUGCAUCAAAAUUCACUUCUAAUUUGCAGCAAAAGCUUGGUGUAGUGAAAUAAAAGAGUGUACAUUUUGUAUUAUGAAAAGAAUUGUAUUGCAAAAAGCAAACAGCACCAGUGCCGUAUACAUAGUUACCAAAUUCUGAUGCAUAUUUCAGUUUCUCUCUUAGGCAUUUUAUCAAAUACAUUGGCCUAGUUAAAAUUGAGUUCGAAUUUGGCCAAUUCUGCAGCUUACAAUUGUUUCUUAUUUUGUUAAUCCACUCUAGAACCAUUCCUAAGUUCACUUUGAGUGCCACCUUUCUUUUAAUACCGUUUAAUUUCUUGCUUGUCAUUGCUUGAAAGUCUACACAUAAGUUGUUUGAUAUUAUUACAGCUGUGCAUCUGGUUUAGCAGAUUUUACAGCAGCAACAACUGCAUUUGUGCGGUUUCAUAACUCGGUUUUGGUGGUAUAUGUGAGUUCUAGAUUGGUGCAGAGACGAGAUUCAGCUGUCCUUAUCAUUGGUAGCAUCUUAGGAAGAAGUUUGAGAGAGGAGAAGUCUAGGUGGAGAACUAUAUUCGGUGCACAAUUCACGUGAACCUACAUUUUGCAAAUCUGCAUAAUGCUUCCAGCACAAUGCAACUCCACCCGCAGUUGAGAGUUUAGUGUGAAUUAAGCAAAUUCACUUAUUGUUUCCGAGAGACCAAAGCUGCACACAUCAUCCAAUUUCCAUUUUUUUGUGAGAAACCAAAAACUGUUUGCCAAUAUUGUUAAUAAUUUUGAUUCAUUCAUUGAAACUCACAUGGUCAAUUGAGUAUUGGAUCAAAAUCUGCCAUUGAGAUGGAUGGAAAGCAAAGAUUUUGGUGAAAGAAAGGAGAAAGCAAGAGGGAUAUGCUCAAGAUUGGUUCAAGUAUGGAAAUGGGGAUCAAGUGGGGUAUAAAUAGGCUCAAGAAUGCUCCCCAACGUUCAGAUUUUGGGAUUUUGCCUAUUAAUAGCCGUUGGCAACGGCUAGUUUAAUGAAAACUGCAACAUUUUUCGAAAAAAAACAGUCUGGAGCGCAUUUAAUCGAUUAAAUUGGAUUUUAAUCGAUUAAGUAAUCGAUUAAUACUUGGAUUAAUCGAUUAAACCAUUCGUAAAUGUAUAGGUAACGCUUUUAAUCGAUUUACGCACAGAUUAAACACGUUAAGCAAUGAAAAUUGCAAUAUUAAGCCCAAAAACGCCUAUUUUACUAUUUCUAAUAUGCCUAUAUCUCUUCUAAGCUCAAAAAAUCUAUCCUUAGGCAAUACUUAGGUGAAAAUAUCCGCUAGUUGAUGCUUAGAAUCUAUGAAUUCCAUUUCACAAUCAACUUUUUGGACAUGGUCUCUAAUGAAGUGAUGCCUAAUUUCUAUAUGCUUGGUUCUAGAAUGCAUGAUAGGAUUUUUGGUAAGUUUUAUAGCACUUGUAUUAUCACACUUAAGCGGAAUAUGAUCUAAAUGAAUAUCAUAGUCUUUUAAUUAUUGUUUCAUCCAUAAGAUUUGUGCACAACAACUACCCUCAGCAAUGUAUUCAGCUUCAGUGGUUGAUAAGGCUACACAGGCUUGUUUCUUAGAGUUCCAAGAGACUAAGGAACUACCUAAAAAGUGACAGGUUCCACUAGUGCUUUUCCUAUCUAUCUUACAGCCUCCAUAAUCAGCAUCAGAAAAUCCUACAAGACUAGGCUCAACUCCUGAAGGAUACCAUAAACCAAAGGAUGUUGUCCCCUUAAGGUAUUUAAAAAUGCGUUUUACUGCAGUAAGAUGAGACUCUCUAGGGCUUGACUGAUACCUAGCACACACACAUACACUUUGCAUGAUAUCAGGUCUACUAGCAGUAAGAUAUAAUAGAGAGCCAAUCAUAACUCUGUAUUUGGUCUGACUUACCUCUUUACCUGUCUCAUCUUUGUCUAGGUAGGAGGAUGUUCCCAUGGGAGUAGAUGCUUCUUUAGCAUUGUUCAUCUCAAACUUUUUGAGCAUUUCCCUGCAAUACUUGGUUUGAGAUAUAAAGGUUCCUUCCUCCAUUUGUUUGAUUUGAAGUCCGAGGAAGAAAGUAAGUUCUCCCAUCAUUGACAUCUCAAAUUCUCCCUGCAUGGACUUAGCAAAAUUCUCACAAAGAGUUGCGUUAGAUGAACCAAAAAUAAUAUCAUCUACNN